rnacentral:rRNA from 1 species
AAUACAGAGGUCCCAAGCGUUGUUCGGAUUUACUGGGCGUAAAGGGUGCGUAGGCGGUUAGAAAAGUUUGGUGUGAAAUCUUCGGGCUCAACCCGGAAACUGCACUGAAAACUAUUUAACUCGAGGAUCGGAGAGGAGAUUGGAAUUCUCAGUGUAGCAGUGAAAUGCGUAGAUAUUGAGAGGAACACCAGUUGCGAAGGCGGAUCUCUGGACGAUUCCUGACGCUGAGGCACGAAAGCUGGGGGAGCGAAGAGGAUUAGAUACCCUCGUAGUCCCAGCCGUAAACGGUGCGCACUUGCUGUGGGCGGAUUCGACCCCGUCCGUGGCGAAGCUAACGCGUUAAGUGCGCCGCCUGGGGAGUACGGUCGCAAGAUUAAAACUCAAAGAAAUUGUCGGGGGCCUGCACAAGCGGUGGAGUAUGUGGCUUAAUUCGAUGCAACGCGAAGAACCUUACCUGGCCUUGACAUGUAGUGGCCCGGGUGCGAAAUCACCCUUUUCUUCGGAACUGCUACACAGGUGCUGCAUGGCUGUCGUCAGCUCGUGUCGUGGGAUGUUGGGUUAAGUCCCGCAACGAGCGCAACCCCCGUGUUCUGUUGCCACCCGGAUGAGAAUCCGGAGCACUCUGGACAGACUGCCUGGUUUCAACCAGGAGGAAGGUGGGGAUGACGUCAAGUCAGUAUGGCCCUUACGGCCAGGGCUGCACACGUACUACAAUGCCCGGUACAAUGGGAAGCGAGACCGCGAGGUGGAGCAAAUCCUAAAAACCGGGCCCAGUUCAGAUUGUAGGCUGCAACUCGCCUACAUGAAGGAGGAAUCGCUAGUAAUGCCGUAUCAGCUACGACGGCGUGAAUACGUUCCCAGGCCUUGUACACACCGCCCGUCACAUCAUGAAAGUCGAUUGUACCCGAAGUCGCCGAGUUAACCGCAAGGAGACAAGCGCCGAAGGUAUGGUUGGUAAUUGG